AAUUUUGGACAAUGGGUGAAACCCUGAUCCAGCCAUCCCGCGUGUAUGAUGAAGGCCUUCGGGUUGUAAAGUACUUUUGGCAGAGAAGAAAAGGUACCUCCUAAUACGAGGUACUGCUGCCGGUAUCUGAGGAAUAAGCACCGGCUACCUCCGUGCCAUCAGCCGCGGUAAUACGUAGGGUGCAAGCGUUAAUCGGAAUUACUGGUCGUAAAGCGUGUGUAGGCGGUUCGGAAAGAAAGAUGUGAAAUCCCAGGGCUCAACCUUGGAACUGCAUUUUUAACUGCCGAGCUAGAGUAUGUCAGAGGGGGGUAGAAUUCCACGUGUAGCAGUGAAAUGCGUAGAUAUGUGGAGGAAUACCGAUGGCGAAGGCAGCCCCCUGGGAUAAUACUGACGCUCAGACACGAAAGCGUGGGGAGCAAACAG
rnacentral:rRNA from 1 species